CCUACGGGAGGCAGCAGUGAGGAAUAUUGGUCAAUGGACGAGAGUCUGAACCAGCCAAGUAGCGUGAAGGAUGACUGCCCUAUGGGUUGUAAACUUCUUUUAUAUGGGAAUAAAAUGUUCCACGUGUAGGAUUUUGUAUGUACCAUAUGAAUAAGGAUCGGCUAACUCCGUGCCAGCAGCCGCGGUAAUACGGAGGAUCCGAGCGUUAUCCGGAUUUAUUGGGUUUAAAGGGAGCGUAGGUGGAUUGUUAAGUCAGUUGUGAAAGUUUGCGGCUCAACCGUAAAAUUGCAGUUGAAACUGGCAGUCUUGAGUGCAGUAGAGGUGGGCGGAAUUCGUGGUGUAGCGGUGAAAUGCGUAGAUAUCACGAAGAACUCCGAUUGCGAAGGCAGUUCACUGGACUGCAACUGACACUGAGGCUCGAAAGUGUGGGUAUCAAACAGGAUUAGAUACCCUUGUAGUC
rnacentral:rRNA from 1 species